UACGUAGGGUGCAAGCGUUAAUCGGAAUUACUGGGCGUAAAGCGUGCGCAGGCGGUGAUGUAAGACAGUUGUGAAAUCCCCGGCUCAACCUGGGAACUGCAUCUGUGACUGCAUCGCUGGAGUGCGGCAGAGGGGGAUGGAAUUCCGCGUGUAGCAGUGAAAUGCGUAGAUAUCGUUUGGAACGCCAAAGGUGAAAACAGACAGCUGGGAGUGUGCUGACGCUGAGACACGAAAGCCAGGGGAGCGAACGGG
rnacentral:rRNA from 1 species